UACGAGGGGUGCAAGCGUUGUCCGGAUUUACUGGGCGUAAAGCGUGCGCAGGCGGCUUUAUAAGCCAGAUGUGAAAUCCCCGGGCUCAACCUGGGAACUGCAUCUGUGACUGCAUAGCUAGAGUACGGCAGAGGGGGAUGGAAUUCCGCGUGUAGCAGUGAAAUGCGUAGAUAUGCGGAGGAACACCGAUGGCGAAGGCAAUCCCCUGGGCCUGUACUGACGCUCAUGCACGAAAGCGUGGGGAGCAAACAGG
rnacentral:rRNA from 1 species